GCCACCGGGCGUGGGAGGCGUUGGGGCCUGCAAGCUGGGUCCGGGCAAGGGCUCUCGCAAGAAGAGCAAAUCUCCAAAAUGAUGGAGCUGGCCAGAGAGAAACAGGCGGCAGAGCUGAAGGCCCUGAAGGAGACGUCGGAGAAGUACGACUGCCUCCCUCCCACACCUGCCUCGCCUCCCAGCAAGGGCUCAGCCGCACAAAACAGCUCCUUCAUGCCUGUCUCUCUGCAGCGACACCAAAGAGAUGAAGAAAAAGCUGGAGACGAAGAGACUGGAGCGGAUCCAGGGCAUGACCAAAGUCACCGCAGACAAGAUGGCCCAGGAGAGGUUGAAGAGAGAGAUUAACAACUCCCACAUCCAGGAAGUAGUGCAGGUGAUCAAGCAGAUGACGGAGAACUUGGAGGGGCACCAGGAGAAGCUGGAGGAGAAGCAGGCGGCUUGCCUGGAACAGAUACGGGAGAUGGAAAAGCAGGAAAAAGGAGCCCCAGCCUUCUGAGGCUGUGGGAACCUGUGGCUGCCUUGGAUGCUGCAGCCCCCUCCUCA
rnacentral:sRNA from 1 species